rnacentral:rRNA from 1 species
UACGUAGGGACCAAGCGUUGUUCGGAUUUACUGGGCGUAAAGGGCGCGUAGGCGGCGUGGUAAGUCAGCUGUGAAAUCUCCGAGCUUAACUCGGAACGGUCAGCUGAUACUGCUGUGCUAGAGUACAGAAAGGGCAAUCGGAAUUCUUGGUGUAGCGGUGAAAUGCGUAGAUAUCAAGAGGAACACCUGAGGCGAAGGCGGGUUGCUAGGCUGAUACUGACGCUGAGUGCGCGAAAGCGUGGGUAGCAAACAGG